AGCGCAGGCGGGAAGACAAGUUGGAAGUGAAAUCUAUGGGCUCAACCCAUAAACUGCUUUCAAAACUGUUUUUCUUGAGUAGUGCAGAGGUAGGCGGAAUUCCCGGUGUAGCGGUGGAAUGCGUAGAUAUCGGGAAGAACACCAAUGGCGAAGGCAGGUCUCUGGGCCGUCACUGACGCUGAGGAGCGAAAGCGUGGGGAGCGAACA
rnacentral:rRNA from 1 species